rnacentral:rRNA from 1 species
GGAUAACUCCAAGCUCUGUUGUUAGGGAAGAACAAGUGCCGUUCAAAUAGGGCGGCACCUUGACGGUACCUAACCAGAAAGCCACGGCUAACUACGUGCCAGCAGCCGCGGUAAUACGUAGGUGGCAAGCGUUGUCCGGAAUUAUUGGGCGUAAAGGGCUCGCAGGCGGUUUCUUAAGUCUGAUGUGAAAGCCCCCGCGCUCAACCGGGGAGGGUCAUUGGAAACUGGGGAACUUGAGUGCGAAGAGGAGAGUGGAAUUCCACGUGGUAGCGGUGAAAUGCGUAGAGAUGUGGAGGAACCCAGUGGCGAAGGCGACUCUCUGGUCUGUAACUGACGCUGAGGAGCGAAAGCGUGGGGAGCGAACAGGAUUAGAUACCCUGGUAGUCCACGCCGUAAACGAUGAGUGCUAAGUGUUAGGGGGUUUCCGCCCCUUAGUGCUGCAGCUAACGCAUUAAGCACUCCGCCUGGGGAGUACGGUCGCAAGACUGAAACUCAAAGGAAUUGACGGGGGCCCGCACAAGCGGUGGAGCAUGUGGUUUAAUUCGAAGCAACGCGAAGAACCUUACCAGGUCUUGACAUCCUCUGACAAUCCUAGAGAUAGGACGUCCCCUUCGGGGGCAGAGUGACAGGUGGUGCAUGGUUGUCGUCAGCUCGUGUCGUGAGAUGUUGGGUUAAGUCCCGCAACAGAGCGCAACCCUUGAUCUUAGUUGCCAGCAUUAGUUGGGCACUCUAAGGUGACUGCCGGUGACCAACCGGAGGAAGGUGGGGAUGACGUCAAAUAUCGCGGAUC